rnacentral:sRNA from 1 species
UUAUCGCGACCGCUGUGACAUCCGGUGCAC